UACGUAGGGUGCAAGCGUUAAUCGGAAUAACUGGGCGUAAAGGGUGAGUAGGCGGAUAAAUAAGUUAGGUGUGAAAUCCCUGGGCUCAACCUAGGAAUGGCACUUAAUACUGUAUAUCUAGAGUUAGUUAGAGGGGGGUAGAAUUCCUGGUGUAGCAGUGAAAUGCGUAGAUAUUAGGAGGAAUACCGAAGGCGAAGGCAGCCCCCUGGGAUGAAACUGACGCUGAGUCACGAAAGCGUGGGUAGCAAACAGG
rnacentral:rRNA from 1 species